rfam:Pantoea wallisii strain LMG 26277 Contig0025_, whole genome shotgun sequence.
CAGGAUGAGUCCGCAGGGAUGCGGGCGAAAGCCGGAGCCGGGACAGGAUGUCCCGUCUCCGGUGGUCCG